UCACUCUUCAAGGCUUCCUUUCUGAUGAGAGCAGCAGAGAUGGGGCCAACCAGUUGCAGAGAGGAGCCACGCUCUCUAGGGUCUCCUCUAUGCUGAGAGCUGAACACUCACUGAAGUGACCCGCCAGCAGAGAGGAGCCACCCACUCCACCCACUCCAGGCCUCCUCUCUGCUGAGAGCUGAAUACUGGAUGGGACAACCUGCCUACAGAGAGGAGCUACUCACUGUUGGUCUCCUCUGAGCUGUUCUAAUACUCAAUGGGUAACCAACCAUCCUCAGCCUGCACUCCCCUUGAGUGUAUUCUGAAUCACUGGGACUCCGUUGACCCUCAGACUGUAGAGAAAGAGGAAAAAACCUUUUCCCUCCUCUGUCCUCUCUUCCAGCCAGGCAUGACCAUGUAACAGUUUGGGCUGCUGAGCCAGAAGGGAAAGAGUACUACUGCUAGACUUCCAGGAAGGCUGCUCUAAGAAAGAUGACUCAGAGGUUGCACUUUUUUAGUUUUGGGGGUUUUUUUCCCUCUACUUCCUGCUUCUUGGAACUAGGACAUGAUGUCUGGAACUCUAGCAGCCAUUUUGGACCAUGAGGUGAUUGUGCGACUAGAAGACACAUCGUAGAAUGGAGCACCAAGACGAAAGCCCCCAAAGCUGCCCUAUAAGACCUGGACUUCAAACCAGCAAACUUCUUCCAUGUGAGAGAGAAAUAAGCUUAGGUUUUGUUUCUGCCAGUGUUAUCUUUGUUUUCGGUUAUGAGCCACUAAAUGUGAUCCCACUUGUUACCCCAGUCAUUCUCCCAACUUCCUAGACCCAUUAAUAGCAUUCUACACUCACAGUCCAUCAGUGGUGCAAGACUACAACACGAUUUUAAAUCCAAAAGUGAUAUAAAUGAUUUUGUGAUUCUGUGCUGCUGAGAUAUGUGCUUUUUUCAACUUGCAAAAUAUACUAUUGAAAUCUAUAGUUAAAAAAAAAAGA
rnacentral:lncRNA from 10 species